GACGAACGCUGGCGGCGCGCCUAACACAUGCAAGUCGAACGGAGCUGAGAGAAGCUUGCUUUUCUUAGCUUAGUGGCGAACGGGUGAGUAACGCGUGAGUAACCUGCCCUGGAGUGGGGGACAACAGUUGGAAACGACUGCUAAUACCGCAUAAGCCCACGAUCCGGCAUCGGAUUGAGGGAAAAGGAUUUAUUCGCUUCAGGAUGGACUCGCGUCCAAUUAGCUAGUUGGUGAGGUAACGGCCCACCAAGGCGACGAUUGGUAGCCGGACUGAGAGGUUGAACGGCCACAUUGGGACUGAGACACGGCCCAGACUCCUACGGGAGGCAGCAGUGGGGGAUAUUGCACAAUGGGGGAAACCCUGAUGCAGCGACGCCGCGUGGAGGAAGAAGGUUUUCGGAUUGUAAACUCCUGUCGUUAGGGACGAUAAUGACGGUACCUAACGAGAAAGCACCGGCUAACUACGUG
rnacentral:rRNA from 1 species